rnacentral:rRNA from 1 species
GUCCACGCCCUAAACGAUGUCAACUAGGUGUUGGGAGGGUAAAACCUUUUAGUACCGUAGCUAACGCGUGAAGUUGACCGCCUGGGGAGUACGGCCGCAAGGUUAAAACUCAAAGGAAUUGACGGGGACCCGCACAAGCGGUGGAUGAUGUGGAUUAAUUCGAUGCAACGCGAAAACCUUACCUACCCUUGACAUGUCCAGAAGCUCUUAGAGAUUUGAGUGUGCCCGAAAGGGAACUGGAACACAGGUGCUGCAUGGCUGUCGU